CAGCAGCCGCGGUAAGACAGAGGAUGCAAGCGUUAUCUGGAAUGAUUGGGCGUAAAGCGACUGUAGGUGGCUUUUCAAGUCUGCAGUCAAACCCCAAGGCUCAACCCUGGACAGGCGGCGGAAACUACCAAGAUGGAGUACGGUAGGGGCAGAGGGAAUUUCCGGUGGAGCGAUGAAAUGCGUUGAGAUCGGAAAGAACACCAACGGUGAAAGCACUCUGCUGGGCCGACACUGACACUGAGAGACGAAAGUUAGGGGAGAAAAUGGGAUUAGAUACCCCAGUAGUCCCUGUCUCUUAUAC
rnacentral:rRNA from 1 species